rnacentral:lncRNA from 1 species
UUGGGAUGUUGGAGGGCGCGGUGCCUCUAGUCGAGCCCAGAUUGGAGUCGCUCAAUUUUUUGAGGUUUUAUGGGCGGAGAUUCAUGGAGGCGUCUACGUUGGGUGAUGGGACUGAGGCUAAUGAGUUCAUGUUGUAUAGGCAGCCUACCUCCAAUACUUCUUCCACUGUUUCGUAUAAUUCUUUCUCCUAUAUGUCGUCGCAUCAAGUUUCUGGUCCCAGAUAGCAUUGGUUGUUAAUACGACUUUAUUUGUCUAAAAUCGUUUUGGUUUGUAUGUAAUCAAUUCGAACAGAGAUUUUACUAUUAGCAUAUUUUAGGAAUUGAAUUAUUGUGAUUGUUGUUUCAUACUAUGUUAGAAUAUUAGUGGGAAGAUCCGGGGAGGACUUUGAUUGCUGAUAGAGAUUUAAAAGCUUAAUAUGUGUUGAUCUUGAUUUUCAUCAGAAUUCGUACUUGCUAAUGGUACAUGGAUUUGGUUUCUAUUUUGGGAAAUUAUACUCUAUUNUAGGUUUAGUGGGCGGAGAUUCAUGGAGGCGUCUACGUUGGGUGAUGGGAAUGAGGCUAAUGAGUUCAUGUUGUAUAGGCAGCCUACCUCCAAUACUUCUUCCACUGCUUCGUAUAAUUCUUUCUCCUAUAUGUCGUCGCAUCAAGUUUCUGGUCCCAGAUAGCAUUGGUGGUUAAUGCGACUUUAAUUAUUUGUCUAAAAAUCGUUUUGGUUUGUAUGUAAUCCAUAUAUUUUACUAUUAGCAUAUUUUAGGAAUUGAAUUAUUGUAAUUGUUGUUUCAUAUGUUAGAAUAUUAGUGGGAAGAUCCGGGGAGCACUUAUAUUGUUGAUAGAGAG